UAAUUAGAGCAGUAAAAUGAAAUGUUUUGUCUUAGCCAUGGUAUACGGUGUGAUAUACCAUGGCUGUCAGCCAAUCAGCAUUUAGGGCUCGAACCACCCAGUAUAUAAUUACAUUUAUAACAUAAAUAUACAGAAAUAAUACUCGUAUCUGUUUAACAGGGAUGUGCUUGAAAAUACAAAAAAUGAGAAAUAGAGACAGAACCUGUCUUUACAGUGAGUGAAUUCAAUUGGAAUAAAAAGCUUUACUCAUAGCUUUAACUUCAUUCAGGAUGAAAAGCUAUACAGUGUCGGAAAGAGCGAUAUUAUAAACUGAGUGGUUUGAGCCCUGAAUGCUGAUUGGCUGACAGCCGUGGUAUAUCAAACCGUAUACCGCAGGUAUGACAAAACAUGUACUUUAACUGCUCUAAUUACGUUGGUAACCAGUUUAUAAUAGCAAUAAGGCACCUUGGGGGUUUGGGGUAUAUGGCCAAUAUACCACAGCUAAGAGCUGUAUCCAGGCACUCGGCGUUGCGUCGCGCAUAAGCACAGCCCUUAGCCAUGAUAUAUCGGCCAUAUACCACAACCCCCCGUGCCUUAUUACUUAAAUAUACACCUUGAUGACUGUCUGCAAAUUCUUCUUGGCGUUACUCUGUUGCACCCUCUUGGACACAGCUGUGUAAUACUUUCGUCUUGACUGAUAUCGAAAGCUGUUGUGAUAUUAGAGUGCAGCUUUGUAGAAUAUGUCUGUGUUUCGCAGUGUGCUGGUCUGAGUAUUUGACCAUUUAGAUAAGGUUCCCUAAGAUUUUAGUUAGAUCCGUAUACAGUCAUACACAGACAACUAAAACAUGCACCCAAAUAUUAAUACACACACAAUGUAUGUCCAAUGGCAUCUGUUCCCCGGGCGCCGAUGACGUGGAUGUCGAUUAAGGCAGCCCCCCGCACCUCUCUGAUUCAGAGGGGUUGGGUUAGAUGUGGAAGAUACAUUUCAGUUGAAUGCAUUCAGUUGUACACUUGACUAGGUAUCCCCCUUUCCUUAUGUAAGGAAGGAGUGUAGAGCAGUUGUACACCUGACUAGGUAUCCCCCUUUCCUUAUGUAAGGAAGGAGUGUAGAGCAGUUGUACACCUGACUAGGUAUCCCCCUUUCCUUAUGUAAGGAAGGAGUGUAGAGCAGUUGUAAUUGUUGUUUGUGAGGUUCUUCUUCCACUUUGGCUUUUCUCUGAUUCAUAUGCUAUCACUGAAUUGGAACAAUAUACAUCAGUCUCCAUUAUCAGGUACAAAACAGGAAACACAUUUGUCAAAUCAUAUACAAUUCCUACCCAAUAAAUGUACCUUUUCUUUCUCGUUUUUGACGUAAAAGUGGAAAGCAUAAUGGUCCACCAGAAAAGCACACUCUCAUUAGGCUACACUUUGACAAUGUGGGGGAAAAUGGAUUGAAAUUCAUAAAGUUUCUAUUGUCCUCGGCCCAUCAAAGCUAUACCAACAGAUAUCUUUCAAUGUCUGUUGUUAGAUGGCCUUAUAAUGCUAUUAGGAUUAAUAUCGAUGUUAUUCUUUGGAUAGCAAUGAGUGCAUAGCCUAUUUCUGGUUUGUACUGUACGUACAAUAAUUCAUCAUUGUUUAUUCUCUACCUAGAGCCCAAGAUUGAUAUACAGUAAAGGUUGGCGGAUGCAGAUAGAAGCCCACUGGGCACAGACAUUAUUUCAACAUCUAGUUUUGAUAUACAUUUGGUUGAGUUGUCGACUUAUGUAAAUGCAAAACGUUUACCAUGUCAUUGGAUUUAGGUUCAAAGCUGGGUGAAAAAAUGUGCAAAUCCAAUCAGUUUUCCACAUUGAUUCAUUGUCAUCACAUUGAAUUGUUUUGUUGAAAUUACAUGGAAAGAACAUUGAUGCAACCAGUUUUUGCCCAGUGGGAGGUGAUACAAAGUAAUGAGGGGUUUUUAAUGUAGCUCCUUACGCUGGUCAAUUGCCAGUCCAGACCUCUUAGCUCUCUAGUCCUGAGAGAGCUACUCCAUGCUUGCUAUGCUGUAUGGGGUGUUACUAUGGUGACCGAUGGUUGAAAGUAGUACAUGGUCGGGUCAUCUCUACAGUUACCCCAAGCAUUACGGGUCAAAUAAGCUUGUUGUGUGUCAUCAUCUCAUUCACACAGAGAUUUGUCUGGUUGACCUAAACCAGGACUAGUCAUUGGUCUUGUAUAUCGUCUCAGGGUGCCAAGCAUUUUAUUUCUCCAUUUCUGAAUCUGUAGCAGACUUUUGUACUGUAGCUGGUUUCUGGCUGUGUUUGAGUGUCUGAAAGUUUAGCUCACUUCUAACCUCUGGUCUUAUACUCCUGAAGCUAAUUUCUACAAAUGCGGAAUAAUAAGCUUUGCACAAUACAGAUCAAAGUCAUUAAGAGCUGCAGAGAGAGUACUCAAUACAUUGGAGUAAACAUACAUAUAUAUUUGAAUUCUGUUUUGGUAGUAAAUACAUUUUUUUUCUCUCUCUCAAGUUCCUUUACCUCUGCAGUUUUUUACAAGCCAAAACUCAAAAAACAGUAAUGUUAUUUGAUUUGUUAGCUGGCUAUGGUAAUUAGUUGGUGGAUAUUUGUUGGAAAGCUAGAUGCAUUGAAUUCAUUAUCUUUUUCAGAGGCUUUUGUGCUGUAUUCAUUUCUCGUUUUGUUUCACUGUUUUGUUUGUUUUAGUUGUUUUUGUGUGCUGCUUUGAAAGAAAAAACACUGUCUCUCCAACUCCAAAGGUUGUUCUUUUGAAAAGAUGAACAAAGCUUGCCUUUUUCACAAAUUGCUCAACUUUAUAAUAUAAUAUACUGGUAUCCUGAUUGAAUGCACAAGCUGAGAUCAUUUUAGGAGUAAAAGAAACGUUUGAUAUGUUUACAAAACGGUAUCACAUGUCAUGAUGUGUUUAUUACAUUUGCCAUGUAAAUAGAAAUUGUUAGGUUAAAAUUGGACUGAAGGUUAGUUUUCUGUAAACAAAAAAAUGAUGUGUUUUCUCAACUUGUCUUUUCAUUCAACUGGGGAUGUUUCAGAGUUACAUGGAUACAAGUGCACCUCCAAUUUUUGCCUUAGAACUUGCAGAGGCCAUAGUUCACAUUCAAGUGAAGUGAGUGUAUGCAGGGGCCUACGCCCCCCCCCCAUCCCCGAGUCACACCCAGUGCGCACACUUAUCUACCUGUGAAAUCCUUCAUACCUCUCAUUACUGGUCAAUGACUGUAUCAGCAAACUUCAUCAGGUGUUUUUUCUACAUGCUUUUUACACAGAUUAUAUGGAUUAUUGUAUUAGUAGAUUUUGGUUCAUUAUUUUUAAUGUAAAAGCUCUUUUACAUAAUUUCUUCUCUCGUUUUUCUAGAACAGUUUUUUGUUAAUAUUGUCAAUUUGAAAUAGCUGUAAUUUGCUUAUUCUCUAUUAAGAGUUCUUACCCUUUUCAUUUUGAAAUGCUACACGACCCUAAUGAAUUAAAAUGACUUAUUAACCAUUUUAAACACGGUAUUGUGCAAACCCCAUUUUCAUUCAUUUCAAUUGCUAGCGUUAUAUAAAUGACAUUUUUGUCUAGACACCAUUUCUGUUUAUGAAAUAAAGAAACAUAUCAUGUG